rnacentral:rRNA from 1 species
GACGAACGCUGGCGGCGUGCUUAACACAUGCAAGUCGAACGGAAAGGCCCUGCUUUUGUGGGGUGCUCGAGUGGCGAACGGGUGAGUAACACGUGAGUAACCUGCCCUUGACUUUGGGAUAACUUCAGGAAACUGGGGCUAAUACCGGAUAGGAGCUCCUGCUGCAUGGUGGGGGUUGGAAAGUUUCGGCGGUUGGGGACGGACUCGCGGCUUAUCAGCUUGUUGGUGGGGUAGUGGCUUACCAAGGCUUUGACGGGUAGCCGGCCUGAGAGGGUGACCGGCCACAUUGGGACUGAGAUACGGCCCAGACUCCUACGGGAGGCAGCAGUGGGGAAUAUUGCACAAUGGGCGGAAGCCUGAUGCAGCAACGCCGCGUGCGGGAUGACGGCCUUCGGGUUGUAAACCGCUUUCGCCUGUGACGAAGCGUGAGUGACGGUAAUGGGUAAAGAAGCACCGGCUAACUACGUGCCAGCAGCCGCGGUGAUACGUAGGGUGCGAGCGUUGUCCGGAUUUAUUGGGCGUAAAGGGCUCGUAGGUGGUUGAUCGCGUCGGAAGUGUAAUCUUGGGGCUUAACCCUGAGCGUGCUUUCGAUACGGGUUGACUUGAGGAAGGUAGGGGAGAAUGGAAUUCCUGGUGGAGCGGUGGAAUGCGCAGAUAUCAGGAGGAACACCAGUGGCGAAGGCGGUUCUCUGGGCCUUUCCUGACGCUGAGGAGCGAAAGCGUGGGGAGCGAACAGGCUUAGAUACCCUGGUAGUCCACGCUGUAAACGGUGGGUACUAGGUGUGGGGUCCAUUCCACGGGUUCCGUGCCGUAGCUAACGCUUUAAGUACCCCGCCUGGGGAGUACGGCCGCAAGGCUAAAACCCAAAGGAAUUGACGGGGCCCCGCACAAGCGGCGGAGCAUGCGGAUUAAUUCGAUGCAACGCGUAGAACCUUACCUGGGUUUGACAUGGAUCGGGAGUGCUCAGAGAUGGGUGUGCCUCUUUUGGGGUCGGUCCACAGGUGGUGCAUGGCUGUCGUCAGCUCGUGUCGUGAGAUGUUGGGUUAAGUCCCGCAACGAGCGCAACCCUUGUUCACUGUUGCCAGCACGUUAUGGUGGGGACUCAGUGGAGACCGCCGGGGUCAACUCGGAGGAAGGUGGGGAUGACGUCAAGUCAUCAUGCCCCUUAUGUCCAGGGCCUCACGCAUGCUACAAUGGCUGGUACAGAGAGUGGCGAGCCUGUGAGGGUGAGCGAAUCUCGGAAAGCCGGUCUCAGUUCGGAUUGGGGUCUGCAACUCGACCUCAUGAAGUCGGAGUCGCUAGUAAUCGCAGAUCAGCAACGCUGCGGUGAAUAAGUUCCCGGG